rnacentral:rRNA from 1 species
GACGAACGCUGGCGGCGUGCUUAACACAUGCAAGUCGAACGAACAGGCCCUGCUCUUGUGGCUUGCUCGAGUGGCGAACGCGGGUGUAACACGCGAGUAAACUGUCCCUGUAUGUGGGGUAACUCCAGGAAAAUCGGGCGAUUACCCCGUAUGAGCUCCUGCUCCACGGGGGGGGUUGGAAAGAGUCGGUGGUUGGGGAUGGACUGGCUGGUUAUCAGCUGGUUUGGCGGGUAGUGGCGUACGAAGGCUGUGACGGGUAGCCGGCCUGAGAGGGUGACCGGGCACAUUGGGCCUGCGGUACGGCGCAGACGCGUACGGGCGGCAGUAGGGGGGAAUAUUGCAGAAUGGGCGGACGCCAGAGGCAGAAACGCCGCGUGCGGGAUGACGGCCUAUGGGUUGUAAACAGAUGUCGCCGGUGCCGAAGCGUGAGUGACGGUACUGGGUAAAGAAGCAACGGCUAACUACGUG